rnacentral:ncRNA from 1 species
ACUAAGUCGUAGAGUAAACUACCUGUUGCGACCUUCCAGAGUAAUCUGGUUGAAAAAUCUAGCUGUAUCGGUGAAGCCUAAGAAACUUGGAUGUUUUACGGUAAUACCGAGGGAAGUCUUCGUGACCCCGUAGAGACUACACGCUAGCCCCCGCCAAGCGGGGUGAAGAUAUAGUCCAGGCUCCGACUAAAGUCGGAG